AUUGGAUGAGCCCGCGGCCUAUCAGCUUGCUGGUGGGGUAACGGCCUACCAAGGCGACGACGGGUAGCUGGUCUGAGAGGACGACCAGCCACACUGGGACUGAGAUACGGCCCAGACUCCUACGGGAGGCAGCAGUGGGGAAUCUUGCGCAAUGGGCGAAAGCCUGACGCAGCGACACCGCGUGAGGGACGAAGGCCCUCGGGUUGUAAACCUCUUUCGGCAGGGACGAAGCGAUCGUGACGGUACCUACAGAAGAAGCUCCGGCUAACUACGUGCCAGCAGCCGCGGCCGAAU
rnacentral:rRNA from 1 species